rnacentral:rRNA from 1 species
CCCUUAGAUGUUCUGGGCCGCACGCGCGCUACACUGACGAAUGCAACGAGCUUAUAACCUUGGCCGAAAGGUCUGGGUAAUCUCCAAAUUUCGUCGUGAUGGGGAUAGAUUAUUGCAAUUAUUAAUCUUCAACGAGGAAUGCCUAGUAAGCGCAAGUCAUCUGCUUGCGUUGAUUACGUCCCUGCCCUUUGUACACACCGCCCGUCGCUCCUACCGAUUGAAUGGUCCGGUGAAGCGUUCGGACCGUGGCCUUUGGACGGUUCGCCGUCUGUUGGCUGCGGGAAGUUCGUUAAACCUUAUCAUUUAGAGGAAGGAGAAGUCGUANCA